rnacentral:rRNA from 1 species
AAAGAGUGCAGUCCCGAGGUGGAGUAAUCUCAUAAAACCGUUUCAGUUCGGAUUGUAGGCUGCAACUCGCCUACAUGAAGCUGGAAUCGCUAGUAAUCGCGGAUCAGCAUGCCGCGGUGAAUACGUUCCCGGGCCUUGUACACACCGCCCGUCACACCACGAGAGUUUGUAACACCCGAAGUCGGUGGGGUAACCUUUAUGGAGCGAGCCGCCUAAGGUGGACAGAUGAUUGGGGGG